rnacentral:rRNA from 1 species
GGUCGUCGCCAAGCAU